rnacentral:rRNA from 1 species
AACUUUCAGCGACGGAUGUCUUGGCUCCCACAUCGAUGAAGAACGCAGCGAAAUGCGAUACGUCUUGCGAAUUGCAGAAUCCAGUGAAUCAUCAAAACUUUGAACGCACCUUGCGCUUCCGGGAUAUCCCUGGGGGCAUGCCU